AGAAUCGGUAGGGGAGCUUCCCAUGGGCGGUGAAGCCGCCGGGCGACCGGCGGUGGAGCGCAUGGGAGUGAGAAUGCUGGCAUGAGUAGCGAGAGACGAGAGAGUAACUCGUCCGCCGUGAACCCGAGGUUUCCUGGGCAAGGCUAAUCCUCCCAGGGUCAGUCGGGGGCUAAGGCGAGGCCGGAAGGCGUAGCCGACGCGCAGCAGGCAGACAUUCCUGCACCGCGCACGCGGCGCUACGACCGACGGGGCGACGGAUGGGGGUGGCUCGGCGGGGUUCUGGACGUCCCCGUGAUGGAGCGCGGCCCGCGGACCAGGGAAAUCCGGUCCGCACGAGGGCGAGGCUCCGGACGAAGCGAUCAAGCGAAGCGAGUGAGCCCGAGGUCCCUAGAAAAACCCCUAGGCAGGCGCGUGCGCGCCCGUACCGCAAACCGACACAGGUGGGUGGGUAGAACAUACCGAGGCGAUCGGGUCAACCAUGGUCAAGGAACUCGGCACAAUGGCCCCGUAACUUCGGGAGAAGGGGUGCCCGCGCGUACGUGAACGGACUUGCUCCGGGAGCGGAGGCGGGCCGCAGUGGAGAGGCCCAAGCGACUGUUUACCAAAAACACAGGACUCUGCAGAAGCCGCAAGGCGACGUAUAGGGUCUGACGCCUGCCCGGUGCCGGAAGGUCACGCGGAGGAGUUAGCGCAUCGCGCGAAGCCCCGAAGCCAAGCCCCGGUAAACGGCGGCCGUAACUAUAACGGUCCUAAGGUAGCGAAAUUCCUUGUCGGGUAAGUUCCGACCUGCACGAAAGGCGCAACGACUUGGGCGCUGUCUCGACCAUGGACCCGGUGAAAUUGCACUGGUCGUGAAGAUGCGACUUACCCGCGGAAGGACGGAAAGACCCCGUGAACCUUCACUGCAGCUUGGCAUUGGCCGCUGGUCCCGCGUGUAGAGGAUAGGCAGGAGGCACAGAUCCGGAGGCGCCAGCCCCCGGGGAGCCGCCCUUGGAAUACUGCCCUCGCGCGACCGGCGUCCUAACCCGAGGCCGUCAACCGGCUCGGGGACCGUGCCAGGCGGGCAGUUUGACUGGGGCGGUCGCCUCCUAAAGGGUAACGGAGGCGCGCGAAGGUCCGCUCGGGACGGUCGGCAACCGUCCUUUUGAAUGCAAGAGUACAAGCGGGCUUGACUGCGAGGCCCACAAGCCGAGCAGGUGCGAAAGCAGGCUCUAGUGAUCCGGCGGCCCCGAGUGGGUGGGCCGUCGCUCAACGGAUAAAAGGUACUCCGGGGAUAACAGGCUGAUCUUGCCCAAGAGUCCACAUCGACGGCAAGGUUUGGCACCUCGAUGUCGGCUCAUCGCAUCCUGGGGCUGGAGCAGGUCCCAAGGGUACGGCUGUUCGCCGUUUAAAGCGGUACGCGAGCUGGGUUCAGAACGUCGUGAGACAGUUCGGUCCCUAUCCUCCGUGGGCGCAGGAGAAUCGAUGGAGGCUGCCCCCAGUACGAGAGGACCGGGGUGGACGCACCUCCGGUGAACCGGUUGUCGACCAACGGCACGGCCGGGUAGCCGCGUGCGGCGCGGAUAACCGCUGAAGGCAUCUAAGCGGGAAGCCGUUCCAGGGAUUAGUUCUCCUUCCGGUAAGGGCCCAGGUAGACUACCUGGUCGAUAGACGGCAGGUGCAAGGGCGGCGACGUCCUCAGCCGAGCCGCACUAAUCGCCCGAGCUCUUCC
rnacentral:rRNA from 1 species